UACGGAGGGGGCUAGCGUUGUUCGGAAUUAUUGGGCGUAAAGAGCUCGUAGGCGGUUUGUCGCGUCUGCCGUGAAAGUCCGGGGCUCAACUCCGGAUCUGCGGUGGGUACGGGCAGACUAGAGUGAUGUAGGGGAGACUGGAAUUCCUGGUGUAGCGGUGAAAUGCGCAGAUAUCAGGAGGAACACCGAUGGCGAAGGCAGGUCUCUGGGCAUUAACUGACGCUGAGGAGCGAAAGCCAGGGGAGCAAACAGG
rnacentral:rRNA from 1 species